UACGGGGGGAGCAAGCGUUGUUCGGAUUUACUGGGCGUAAAGGGCGCGUAGGCGGUCAGCACAAGUCAGUUGUGAAAUCUCCGGGCUUAACUCGGAAAGGUCAACUGAUACUGUGCGACUAGAGUGCGGAAGGGGCAACUGGAAUUCUUGGUGUAGCGGUGAAAUGCGUAGAUAUCAAGAGGAACACCUGCGGCGAAGGCGGGUUGCUGGGCCGACACUGACGCUGAGACGCGAAAGCGUGGGGAGCGAACAGG
rnacentral:rRNA from 1 species